CUUAGCAACUUGGUAAAGAAUUCCUAAUAAGCGUCUUUACCGAGCUCUUGGUAAUUACGCGUCCUACAAAAAGUAUACGGGAUUAUUACCGUAUCAAUACCAAACGGCACUCUUUACCAUAAUUUUAAUCAAGUGCAGUACAAAUUUUUUCCGUUGUGGUGCUGAUGAGAUCUACAUUUUGGUGUAGUUUAUUACCACAGAGUUUUAGUUUCCGCUCAGCUCAACUCAAGUCAACAUGCCGAAAUAAUCCCCGUGUCCAAUUCCAAAUUCUGCAUGUGGGAAAAACUGAUAAA